rnacentral:rRNA from 1 species
UACGUAGGGAGCAAGCGUUGUCCGGAAUCAUUGGGCGUAAAGCGCGCGUAGGCGGCCCUGUAAGUCCGUUGUGAAAGUCAAAGGCUCAACCUUUGAAAGCCGAUGGAUACUGCAGGGCUAGAGUCCGGAAGAGGCGAGUGGAAUUCCUGGUGUAGCGGUGAAAUGCGCAGAUAUCAGGAGGAACACCGAUUGCGAAGGCAGCUCGCUGGGACGUUACUGACGCUGAGACGCGAAAGCGUGGGGAGCAAACAGG